CCCUUAGAUGUUCUGGGCUGCACGCGUGCUACAAUGGCGUUUCCAGCAAGUCUGCGAACCCGAGAGGGCCAGCGGAUCUUCGAAUUGGCGUCGUGAUCGGGACAGUCGAUUGCAACUAUUUGACUCAAACGAGGAAUUCCUUGUAAUCGCGAUUCAUCAUAUCGCGCUGAAUACGUCCCUGCCCUUUGUACACACCGCCCGUCGCUCCUACCGAUUGAGCGAUCCGGUAAAUGUUUUGGAUUGGUGCCGGGGCGGCUAGCUGCCGGUCGCUACGAAAUUUUGUGAACCUUAUCGCUUAGAGGAAGGAAAAGUCGUAACA
rnacentral:rRNA from 1 species